AUUGAACGCUGGCGGCAGGCCUAACACAUGCAAGUCGAGCGGAUGAAGGGAGCUUGCUCCUGGAUUCAGCUGCGGACGGGUGAGUAAUGCCUAGGAAUCUGCCUGGUAGUGGGGGAUAACGUCCGGAAACGGGCGCUAAUCCCGCAUACGUCCUGAGGGAGAAAGUGGGGGAUCUUCGGACCUCACGCUAUCAGAUGAGCCUAGGUCGGAUUAGCUAGUUGGUGGGGUAAAGGCCUACCAAGGCGACGAUCCGUAACUGGUCUGAGAGGAUGAUCAGUCACACUGGAACUGAGACACGGUCCAGACCCCUACGGGAGGCAGCAGUGGGGAAUAUUGGACAAUGGGCGAAAGCCUGAUCCAGCCAUGCCGCGUGUGUGAAGAAGGUCUUCGGAUUGUAAAGCACUUUAAGUUGGGAGGAAGGGAAGUAAGUUAAUACCUUGCUGUUUUGACGUUACCAACAGAAUAAGCACCGGCUAACUUCGUG
rnacentral:rRNA from 1 species